rnacentral:rRNA from 1 species
UACGGGGGGAGCAAGCGUUGUUCGGAUUUACUGGGCGUAAAGGGCGCGUAGGCGGCCACUGCAAGUCAAUUGUGAAAUCUCCGGGCUUAACUCGGAAAGGUCAACUGAUACUGCAGGGCUAGAGUGCGGAAGGGGCAACUGGAAUUCUCGGUGUAGCGGUGAAAUGCGUAGAUAUCGAGAGGAACACCUGCGGCGAAGGCGGGUUGCUGGGCCGACACUGACGCUGAAGUGCGAAAGCGUGGGGAGCGAUCCGG